rnacentral:tRNA from 1 species
AGCCUUAUAUUCAAAUAAUGAUUUAAAAUUGCAAAUUUUAAGUUAUAAGUUAAUUUACUUAUUAAGGCUU